rnacentral:rRNA from 1 species
UUGACCUCGGAUCAGGUAGGACUACCCGCUGAACUUAAGCAUAUCAAUAAGCGGAGGAAAAGAAACCAACAGGGAUUGCCCCAGUAACGGCGAGUGAAGCGGCAACAGCUCAGAUUUGGAAUCUGGCCCCCAGGGCCCGAGUUGUAAUCUGGAGAGGAUGCUUCUGGCGCGGCGCCUUCCGAGUUCCCUGGAACGGGACGCCGGAGAGGGUGAGAGCCCCGUACGGUUGGACGCCUAGCCUUUGUGAAGCUCCUUCGACGAGUCGAGUAGUUUGGGAAUGCUGCUCAAAAUGGGAGGUAAAUUUCUUCUAAAGCUAAAUACCGGCCAGAGACCGAUAGCGCACAAGUAGAGUGAUCGAAAGAUGAAAAGCACUUUGAAAAGAGGGUCAAACAGUACGUGAAAUUGUUGAAAGGGAAGCGCCCGUGGCCAGACUUGUGCCCCGCGGACCACCCGGCGCCCUCAGCGCCGGUGCACUCCGCGGGGCGCAGGCCAGCAUCGGUUUUCUUAGGGGGAUAAAGGCGGCGGGAACGUGGCUCCCUUGGGAGUGUUAUAGCCCGCCGCGCCAUGCCCCUGGGGGGACCGAGGACCGCGCUUCGGCAAGGAUGCUGGCGUAAUGGCCACCGGCGACCCGUCUUGAAACACGGACCAAGGAGUCAAGCAUUGGGGCGAGUGUCUGGGUGCCAAACCCGCACGCGAAAUGAAAGUGAACGCAGGUGAGAGCUUCGGCGCAUCAUCGACCGAUCCUGAUGUUCUCGGAUGGAUUUGAGUAAGAGCCUUACCGCUUGGACCCGAAAGAUGGUGAACUAUGCCUGUAUAGGGUGAAGCCAGAGGAAACUCUGGUGGAGGCUCGCAGCGGUUCUGACGUGCAAAUCGAUCGUCAAAUAUGGGCAUGGGGGCGAAAGACUAAUCGAACCAUCUAGUAG